rnacentral:rRNA from 1 species
UACGUAGGGUGCAAGCGUUGUCCGGAAUUAUUGGGCGUAAAGAGCUCGUAGGCGGUUUGUCGCGUCUGCUGUGAAAACUGGGGGCUCAACCCCCAGCCUGCAGUGGGUACGGGCAGACUAGAGUGCGGUAGGGGAGAUUGGAAUUCCUGGUGUAGCGGUGGAAUGCGCAGAUAUCAGGAGGAACACCAAUGGCGAAGGCAGAUCUCUGGGCCGUAACUGACGCUGAGGCGCGAAAGCUAGGGGAGCGAACGGG